rnacentral:lncRNA from 1 species
CACUGCUAUAAUGUCUAGAAAGCCAAGCUGGACAGUUUGAAUAUCACAAAUAUCAAGCAGUAUCUUGUAAUAGGACCUGAAGUGUCCUAAACACCAUGGCUUUCUCUUACGUGUUGACUUCAUGAGUGUUGGUUGUUGUUACGGAGAUCUGACACCAUACUUAAAUGAUUGAAGUUGAGCAAUUCCCAGUGACAUUGAUUUCGAUUGAAUUUGUUAGCUAGUGCCCAGCAGUAGUCAGAAAAAACCACCAAACUGAGUUAGAAGUUAUGAGGAAAGAAAUAGAAAAAAUAUGACUGUGUCUGACUAGAGCUCUGUUAAACUCUACAUCUUCGGUGCUGUGAGUGAUUCUAAUGCUCCCAUUUCAGAGCAUUGAAGAGUGUUAAAGGUGAUGAUUUAUGGAACAGCUUCCACAUGAUGAAAGAAAUAUGAUCUUCAACCUGCAGAAGAAUCAACUGAAGAAGAGUAUGAUAGAGAUCUACAGGACUGGGAAGGCAAUGAAAAAGUGGAAAAUGACAGUGCACUCCUCACAGGAAUGA